UGGGGAAUAUUGCACAAUGGGCGCAAGCCUGAUGCAGCCAUGCCGCGUGUGUGAAGAAGGCCUUCGGGUUGUAAAGCACUUUCAGCGAGGAGGAAGGUGGUGAGCUUAAUACGCUCAUCAAUUGGCGUUACUCGCAGAAGAAGCACCGGCUAACUCCGUGCCAGCAGCCGCGGUAAUACGGAGGUGCAAGCGUUAAUCGGAAUUACUGGGCGUAAAGCGCACGCAGGCGGUUUGUUAAGUCAGAUGUGAAAUCCCCGGGCUCAACCUGGGAACUGCAUUUGAAACUGGCAAGCUAGAGUCUCGUAGAGGGGGGUAGAAUUCCAGGUGUAGCGGUGAAAUGCGUAGAGAUCUGGAGGAAUACCGGUGGCGAAGGCGGCCCCCUGGACGAAGACUGACGCUCAGGUGCGAAAAGCGUGGGGAGCAAAACAGGAUUAGAUACCCUGGUAGUCCACGCUGUAAAACGAUGUCGAUUUUGGAGGUUGUGCCCUUGAGGCGUGGCUUCCGGAGCUAACGCGUUAAAUCGACCGCCUGGGGAGUACGGCCGCAAGGUUAAAACUCAAAUG
rnacentral:rRNA from 1 species